UGCCAAUGAUGAAACUAUUUGCUACUACUGAUACCCUGUGAUUAGACUGACCACCAAGAUCUCUGAGGCA